GGCGUGAAAUGUGGACAUUUAUUGACA
rnacentral:piRNA from 1 species